UACGUAGGGUGCGAGCGUUAAUCGGAAUUACUGGGCGUAAAGCGUGCGCAGGCGGUGAGCUGUGUCCGAUGUGAAAGCCCCGGGCUUAACCUGGGAAUGGCAUUGGAAACUGGCUCGCUGGAGUGUGGCAGAGGGGGGUGGAAUUCCGCGUGUAGCAGUGAAAUGCGUAGAGAUGCGGAGGAACACCGAUGGCGAAGGCAGCCCCCUGGGCUGACACUGACGCUGAGGCACGAAAGCGUGGGGAGCAAACAGG
rnacentral:rRNA from 1 species